rnacentral:rRNA from 1 species
CCUACGGGUGGUAGCAGUCGAGAAUCAUUCACAAUGGGCGCAACCCUGAUGGUGCGACGCCGCGUGGGGGAAUGAAGGUCUUCGGAUUGUAAACCCCUGUCAUGUGGGAGCAAAUUAAAAAGAUAGUACCACAAGAGGAAGAGCCGGCUAACUCUGUGCCAGCAGCCGCGGUACUAGAACGGUCUCAAGCGUUGUUCGGAAUCAGUGGGCGUUAAGCGUGCGUAGGCUGUUUCGUAAGUCGGGUGUGAAAGGCGCGGGCUCAACCCGCGGACGGCAAAUGAUACUGGGAGACUAGAGUAGUGGAGAGGGAACCGGAAUUCGCGGUGUAGCAGUGAAAUGCGUAGAUA